GACGAACGCUGGCGGCGUGCUUAACACAUGCAAGUCGAACGGUAAGGCCCUAGCUUGUUGGGGUUCACGAGUGGCGAACGGGUGAGUAACACGUGGGCGACCUGCUCUGCACUUCGGGAUAAGCCUGGGAAACUGGGCUUACUAUCGGACAGGAUCGCACCGAGAGGGUGAGGCGGAAAGUCUUCCGGUGUGGGCUGGGCCCGUGGGCUAUCAGCUUGUUGGCGGGGUAAUGGCCUACCAGGGCGGCGACGGGUCGCCGGCAUGAGAGGGUGGACGGCCACCAGGGGACUGAGACACGGCCCAGAGUCCUACGGGAGGCAGCAGUGGGGAAUAUUGCACAAUGGGCGCGAGCCGGAUGCAGCGACGCCGCGUGGGGGAUGACGGCCUUCGGGUUGUGAACUCCUGUCGCCAUCGACGAAGGUUUUCUGACGGUAGAUGGAGAAGAAGCACCGGCUAACUACGUG
rnacentral:rRNA from 1 species